AGGUGGGAGGAUCGCUUGAGCCUGGGAGGUGGAGGUUGCAGUGAGCUAUGAUCAUGCCACUGCACUCCAGCCUGGGUGAUAGAGUGAGACCGUGUCUC
rnacentral:miRNA from 1 species